rnacentral:rRNA from 1 species
UACAGAGGUCCCAAGCGUUGUUCGGAUUCACUGGGCGUAAAGGGCGCGUAGGUGGCCGGGUAAGUUCGAUGUGAAAGCUCUGAGCUCAACUCAGAAAUGGCAUUGAAUACUAUCCGGCUAGAGGGUCGGAGGGGGGACUGGAAUUCUCGGUGUAGCAGUGAAAUGCGUAGAUAUCGAGAGGAACACCAGUGGCGAAGGCGAGUCCCUGGACGACUCCUGACACUGAGGCGCGAAAGCUAGGGGAGCAAACAGG